CGUACUUACCAUGCAGUCGACGAUGAUGCCCAGCUUGCUGGGCGGAUUAGUGGCGAACGGGUGAGUAAUACGUGAGUAACCUGCCCCUGACUCUGGGAUAAGCCUGGGAAACCGGGUCUAAUACUGGAUACGACCUUCCACCGCAUGGUGGGGGGUGGAAAGGGUUUACUGGUUUUGGAUGGGCUCACGGCCUAUCAGCUUGUUGGUGGGGUAAUGGCUCACCAAGGCGACGACGGGUAGCCGGCCUGAGAGGGUGACCGGCCACACUGGGACUGAGACACGGCCCAGACUCCUACGGGAGGCAGCAGUGGGGAAUAUUGCACAAUGGGCGAAAGCCUGAUGCAGCGACGCCGCGUGAGGGAUGACGGCCUUCGGGUUGUAAACCUCUUUCAGUAGGGAAGAAGCGCAAGUGACGGUACCUGCAGAAGAAGCGCCGGCUAACUACGUGCCAGCAGCCGCGGUAAUACGUAGGGCGCAAGCGUUGUCCGGAAUUAUUGGGCGUAAAGAGCUCGUAGGCGGUUUGUCGCGUCCGCUGUGAAAGCCCGGGGCUCAACCCCGGGUCGGCAGUGGGUACGGGCAGACUAGAGUGCAGUAGGGGAGACUGGAAUUCCUGGUGUAGCGGUGAAAUGCGCAGAUAUCAGGAGGAACACCGAUGGCGAAGGCAGGUCUCUGGGCUGUUACUGACGCUGAGGAGCGAAAGCAUGGGGAGCGAACAGGAUUAGAUACCCUGGUAGUCCAUGCCGUAAACGUUGGGCACUAGGUGUGGGGGACAUUCCACGUCCUCCGCGCCGUAGCUAACGCAUUAAGUGCCCCGCCUGGGGAGUACGGCCGCAAGGCUAAAACUCAAAGGAAUUGACGGGGGCCCGCACAAGCGGCGGAGCAUGCGGAUUAAUUCGAUGCAACGCGAAGAACCUUACCAAGGCUUGACAUCCACCGGACCGCCCCAGAGAUGGGGUUUCCCUUCGGGGCUGGUGGACAGGUGGUGCAUGGUUUGUCGUCAGCUCGUGUCGUGAGAUGUUGGGUUAAGUCCCGCAACGAGCGCAACCCUCGUUUCUAUGUUGCCAGCACGUGAUGGUGGGGGACCU
rnacentral:rRNA from 1 species